rnacentral:rRNA from 1 species
UACGUAGGGUGCAAGCGUUGUCCGGAAUUAUUGGGCGUAAAGCGCUCGUAGGCGGUUUGUCGCGUCUGCUGUGAAAACGCGAGGCUCAACCUCGCGCCUGCAGUGGGUACGGGCAGACUAGAGUGCGGUAGGGGAGAUUGGAAUUCCUGGUGUAGCGGUGGAAUGCGCAGAUAUCAGGAAGAACACCCGUGGCGAAGGCGGCUCUCUGGGACGUGACUGACGCUGAGACGCGAAAGCGUGGGGAGCGAACAGG